UACGAAGGGAGCUAGCGUUGCUCGGAAUCACUGGGCGUAAAGCGCACGUAGGCGGCUUUCUAAGUCAGGGGUGAAAUCCUGGAGCUCAACUCCAGAACUGCCUUUGAUACUGGAGAGCUUGAGUCCGGGAGAGGUGAGUGGAACUGCGAGUGUAGAGGUGAAAUUCGUAGAUAUUCGCAAGAACACCAGUGGCGAAGGCGGCUCACUGGCCCGGUACUGACGCUGAGGCACGAAAGCGUGGGGAGCAAACAGG
rnacentral:rRNA from 1 species